rnacentral:rRNA from 1 species
AGAGUUUGAUCCUGGCUCAGAACGAACGCUGGCGGCAGGCCUAACACAUGCAAGUCGAACGAGAAGCCACCUUCGGGUGGUGGACAGUGGCAGACGGGUGAGUAACGCGUGGGAACGUGCCUUUCGGUUCGGGAUAACCCAGGGAAACUUGGGCUAAUACCGGAUACGCCCUCCGGGGGAAAGAUUCAUCGCCGAAAGAUCGGCCCGCGUCGGAUUAGCUAGUUGGUAGGGUAAUGGCCUACCAAGGCGACGAUCCGUAGCUGGUCUGAGAGGAUGACCAGCCACACUGGGACUGAGACACGGCCCAGACUCCUACGGGAGGCAGCAGUGGGGAAUAUUGGACAAUGGGCGAAAGCCUGAUCCAGCCAUGCCGCGUGGGUGAAGAAGGCCUUAGGGUUGUAAACCCCUUUCAGCGGGGAAGAUAAUGACGGUACCCGCAGAAGAAGUCCCGGCUAACUCCGUGCCAGCAGCCGCGGUAAUACGGAGGGGACUAGCGUUGUUCGGAAUUACUGGGCGUAAAGCGCACGUAGGCGGAUUUGUAAGUCAGGGGUGAAAUCCCGGGGCUCAACCCCGGAACUGCCUUUGAUACUGCGAAUCUCGAGUCCGGAAGAGGUGAGUGGAAUUCCUAGUGUAGAGGUGAAAUUCGUAGAUAUUAGGAAGAACACCAGUGGCGAAGGCGGCUCACUGGUCCGGUACUGACGCUGAGGUGC